rnacentral:lncRNA from 1 species
AAUCAAUCCAGAAUCUAAAAAUAGGGAAUCUUCAGCUACUUUGGUAAAGGAGAUGAAUUGUACAGAUAUUCAUAGACCUGAAGAGAGCCUCUGCCUGGGAGGGAGGCUGAGGCAAAGGAGACAGAUCGUCUUUCUCUUCUCUUCCUCACUUGAGGGAAUUUUUCUUGCUGGCUUUUUGAGGGUGUGGUGCUGAGAAGGAACCCUGUUCUUUGAAGACUUGAGGGUGCAAACUGAGUACUCUGGUUUUAACCUAAGCAGUAAAAAAGGGGGUGCUCCUCUGAGAUUUGGGGACUGCUGAGCCUGACUCUGCCUGCCUUGACUUGGCAAAGAUUGAGAAGUUCUAACAGUCAGUAAUCUGUUUGGAUGUGUUAUGAAGCAAAAAGGAAGAGGAUGAGGAAGAAGGAGAUGUCCCUUCAGGCAUGGGUUCCAGGGAGAAAAAGGAAGAGAUUUUUGCAAGCCAAAGAAGAAGAUGUUCUCCAUUUUCCCCACAGAGUCCAAGACUCAGUCAAUUUGCAGUGACACACCACCUCGUACGCCUCCUUAAUAAAGUGUAAGCAUAUCCUACUGUGUGAAGCCA